CCUACGGGAGGCAGCAGUGGGGAAUAUUGCACAAUGGGGGAAACCCUGAUGCAGCGACGCCGCGUGAGUGAAGAAGUAUUUCGGUAUGUAAAGCUCUGUCAGCAGGGAAGAAAAUGACGGUACCUGACCAAGAAGCCCCGGCUAACUACGUGCCAGCAGCCGCGGUAAUACGUAGGGGGCAAGCGUUAUCCGGAUUUACUGGGUGUAAAGGGAGCGUAGACGGCAGGGCAAGUCUGGAGUGAAAGCCCGGGGCCCAACCCCGGGACUGCUCUUGGAACUGCGUGGCUAGAGUGCAGGAGGGGCAG
rnacentral:rRNA from 1 species